CGGAGGAUGCGAGCGUUAUCCGGAUUUAUUGGGUUUAAAGGGUGCGUAGGCGGAUUGAUAAGUCAGUGGUGAAAUUCUACAGCUUAACUGUAGACUUGCCGUUGAUACUGAUAGUCUUGAGUUUGGUUAAGGUAGGCGGAAUGUGUAAUGUAGCGGUGAAAUGCUUAGAUAUUACACAGAACACCAAUUGCGUAGGCAGCUUACUGAGCCGACACUGACGCUGAGGCACGAAAGCGUGGGGAUCGAACAGGAUUAGA
rnacentral:rRNA from 1 species